rnacentral:rRNA from 1 species
GACGAAGGUGGCGAGCGUUACUCGGAAUCACUGGGCGUAAAGGGUGCGUAGGCGGGUCUUUAAGUCAGGGGUGAAAUCCUGGAGCUCAACUCCAGAACUGCCUUUGAUACUGAGGAUCUUGAGUUCGGGAGAGGUGAGUGGAACUGCGAGUGUAGAGGUGAAAUUCGUAGAUAUUCGCAAGAACACCAGUGGCGAAGGCGGCUCACUGGCCCGAUACUGACGCUGAGGCACGAAAGCGUGGGGAGCAAACAGG